rnacentral:rRNA from 1 species
UACGUAGGGGGCUAGCGUUGUCCGGAAUCAUUGGGCGUAAAGCGCGCGUAGGCGGCCCGGUAAGUCCGCUGUGAAAGUCAAAGGCUCAACCUUUGAAUGUCAGCGGAUACUGCCGGGCUAGAGUCCGGAAGAGGCGAGUGGAAUUCCUGGUGUAGCGGUGAAAUGCGUAGAUAUACGGAGGAACACCAGCGGCGAAGGCGGGUAGCUGGGCCAACACUGACGCUGAUGCGCGAAAGCCAGGGUAGGCAAACGGG